rnacentral:rRNA from 1 species
UACGUAGGGUGCGAGCGUUAAUCGGAAUUACUGGGCGUAAGCGUGCGCAGGCGGUUUUGUAAGCCAGGUGUGAAAUCCCCGGGCUCAACCUGGGAAUGGCAUUUGGGACUGCAAGGCUGGAGUGCGGCAGAGGAGACUGGAAUUCCUGGUGUAGCAGUGAAAUGCGUAGAUAUCAGGAGGAACACCGAUGGCGAAGGCAGGUCUCUGGGCUGACACUGACGCUCAUGCACGAAAGCGUGGGGAGC